AUUCUGCUGAGUUGAAGGGAUCCUCCUGUCAGACAACCUCUCCAAAGUACAAUAGGACUAGGUUUCCACUACAAGGAUUAGAUUUGGCUACUGCAGUCCCGGUUUGGGCCAGCCUCACUUGUGAAGACUAAAGAUGAAGA